GUAGGUGAACCUGCGGAAGGAUCAUUAAUAAUAACACACGCAUCUUUUCUUUGAAUCUUUUUUUACUGAGAUUCAUUUUCACCCUUUUAUACAAAGCGAACAUUUGUGUUUUGAUGUUUUUUCGUUUUUGUUAACGAAAAACACUCAUUUUUUUCCUUUUUCUUUUUUUUUUAAAAAACAAAAAAACCCAAUUUAAACAACAUUCUUUUGACUGAAAAAUUGUAAAUUUUUUUUAUAAUUUACAAACAAA
rnacentral:misc_RNA from 1 species